UCGAAGGUCCCUUGCAUGAGAAAUCUCUUU
rnacentral:piRNA from 1 species